rnacentral:lncRNA from 1 species
UGGCAGACACGUCCUAGGGCGGUGCUUGCAAAGCAGCGUGAAAACCCCUUUCCCCAGGCCCAUCCUUUCUUGGUUAUGUCCUUCCCAGUUUGCUCACAGAUAAAUCUACCCCACCGCGCGGCUGAGAGCACAGUGAUUCUGAAACCUGAGAUGGAAGUUCAGGCCAACACCCUACCCACACCCAACCCCCACUCCUGGCAGGACCAAAGACCCUUCUGUCCCAACUUCAGUUAGGUCACUCACAACUCAUAAUUAAAGCUGCAGAUGCUGUAUUAGAACCAUCAUGGGCACCAAACAGCAAGCACUGCCUGAUCCCCACA